UUGUUAUCAUUUUUUCCUCCUUUUUUUUUCCAUUAUGAUUUAUGUUUAAAACACAGUAAUAUCUAAGCCACGAAAACAAAGGUCAAACACAGUUAAGCUACUAAUUUGGCAAACAAAACCAUGUUCAAAGAAUACUUCACGUACAUCAUAUGAUACAGUAGGGAGAAUCUGGUCUUCUCAAUCGGGGUGCUUCUAUUGAUUGCAAGUUUUGAUUCUCAAUCACAUUUCUUUCCCUUGUUCUUUCAGUGUCUUUCUCUACCAUAUAUUUUGCUGGUUCUUGCUAGUUCAUUAAACACUACAACAAAUUAUACUUUUGAUAGCUUUGAGUUAUGAGUGGUUUAAUGGAGAUUCCUAUGAAUGCUCUACUAUUAUUAUGCCUAGCUAUCAUCCCUUUUCUUUGUUUUGUCAUAAGUUCAUUCACUUUCCAUUUUUCUACUAAACCUUAAUUGAUAAGAAAAUUCCUUGAUAAAUUGGUAGUUCAAAUGCAACUUAGAGGGUGCUGGUGUAAUGUGGAUCUGAACAUUGAUGAUAGUGGAUGACUAUAUCUCAAUAGGUUAAUGUGAACUGCUCUCGCCCACUGUGUGAAUGUCGACACACGCACAAAACUUUAAUCCAUUUGGUUAAUGGGGAUGAUUAGUGAUACCAGUGUCAUUUAUCUUUUGCAAGAGCACUAUGCUCAUUGUCUACCACCAUUGAUCAAUAAUGUAUGUGUUUGAAUAGCUAAGUGGCUCGAUUGGUAGUUAAAUGCGUGUGGUUGAAGUUCCAGCUUUUUACACAGUUUUCUCACAUGAAUAGUUAUGUUCCACAAUCGCGCACGGAUUGGUAUAUGUCGUUCGCCAAUUUGUCAUGGUAUGUGUUCGCCGUUGGGAGCAAAAGGGUAUAAACUUGGCAAAAAAGUAAGCUUCAAAUAAAGAACAUCUCCGUGGGCGAAGAAUUGGGGUACUUGAAUGAGAAGGCUUCCUAGUUUAGGAUUACAUUUUCUGGAAAGAGAGAUUACAUUAGUGUUUUUUUUAUGAGUGUAAUUAGUCUGACUCUUAAAUGUAGUUUGUGCCGGAAAAUUAUUCUUCAAGCUAUUGUAAUGAAUCUUCAGUUGAAUUAUUUAUCUUACAUUGAAAUUGUAUC